GUUUAAACACCAGUUCACGUAAGAUCACCGAAGUUAAGCAACAUUGAACCUGGUCAGUACCUAAAUUGGUGACCGCUUGGGAAUACCAGCUGCUA